GCCUCUGUAGCUCAGUGGAUAGAGCGACCGCCUCCUAAGCGGUAGGUCGCAGGUUCGAUUCCUGCCAGGGGCACCG
rnacentral:tRNA from 1 species